rnacentral:rRNA from 1 species
CAACGUGGGGAACCUGCCCCAUAGUCUGGGAUACCACUUGGAAACAGGUGCUAAUACCGGAUAAGAAAGCGGAUCGCAUGAUCAGCUUUUAAAAGGCGGCGUAAGCUGUCGCUAUGGGAUGGCCCCGCGGUGCAUUAGCUAGUUGGUAAGGUAAAGGCUUACCAAGGCGAUGAUGCAUAGCCGAGUUGAGAGACUGAUCGGCCACAUUGGGACUGAGACACGGCCCAAACUCCUACGGGAGGCAGCAGCA